AUUGAACGCUGGCGGCAGGCCUAACACAUGCAAGUCGAACGAGUGGCGGACGGGUGAGUAAUGUCUGGGAAACUGCCUGAUGGAGGGGGAUAACUACUGGAAACGGUAGCUAAUACCGCAUACCAUCAGAUGUGCCCAGAUGGGAUUAGCUUGUUGGUGGGGUAACGGCUCACAAGGGCGACGAUCCCUAGCUGGUCUGAGAGGAUGACCUGCAACACUGGAACGGAGACACAGACCAUACUCCUACGGGAGGCAGCAGUGGGGAAUAGUGCACAAUGGGCGCAAGCCUGAGGCAGCCAUGCGGCGUGUAUGAAGAAGGCCUUCGGGUUGUAGAGUACUUUCAGCGGGGAGGCGUUACCCGCAGAAGAAGCACCGGCUAACUCCGUGCCAGCAGCCGCGGUAAUUC
rnacentral:rRNA from 1 species